UACGGGGGGGGCAAGCGUUGUUCGGAAUUACUGGGCGUAAAGGGCUCGUAGGCGGCCAACUAAGUCAGACGUGAAAUCCCUCGGCUUAACCGGGGAACUGCGUCUGAUACUGGAUGGCUUGAGUUCGGGAGAGGGAUGCGGAAUUCCAGGUGUAGCGGUGAAAUGCGUAGAUAUCUGGAGGAACACCGGUGGCGAAGGCGACAUCCUGGACCAACACUGACGCUGAGGAGCGAAAGCCAGGGGAGCAAACGGG
rnacentral:rRNA from 1 species